UACAGAGGUCUCAAGCGUUGUUCGGAUUCAUUGGGCGUAAAGGGUGCGUAGGCGGCGGGGUAAGUCGGGUGUGAAAUCUCAGAGCUCAACUCUGAAACUGCACUCGAUACUGCUUUGCUAGAGGACUGGAGAGGAGAUUGGAAUUCACGGUGUAGCAGUGAAAUGCGUAGAGAUCGUGAGGAAGACCAGUGGCGAAGGCGGAUCUCUGGACAGUUCCUGACGCUGAGGCGCGAAGGCCAGGGGAGCAAACGGG
rnacentral:rRNA from 1 species